CUCGAUGAGACGGUUUAUAAACAUACCGAUUAAGAAAAUAGACACGGUUGUAAUAUGUGUGCCUGUCAGUGGUUUUGAACAGACAUAUGAGAGCUAUAAGCUAAAAUUCAUGUGAGAUAAAAUGAAAUGUUGACAUAAUAUUUGUUGCCUUAUUUAAGAAAAGAAAAACCACAUGUAUAAAUUGUAUGUAUUGUGCUUGGCGUCAGUAGUAAUGGGUUUAGUCCGAAACAGGACGACAUUGGACGAAUUGGCUAAUACCUGUUUGGAAGGAAGACAGCAUAAAUAUGAACCAACACCAGAGCCAGCUCUCUUUAAACAUUGUAAACCAUGGAAAGACAGAUCGUGUUGUGCCAGGAAUACUUCAGAGGCUAUUCACACAUCUGACGUCUGGUUAAGUCUGGAGUGGAAUCAUUGUGGAAACAUGUCAGCUAAAUGUCUCGAGCAGUUCCAUCGAGAAGCGUGCUUUUAUCAGUGCUCGCCAAAUCUUGGACCAUGGUUAAAAUUGAUUGAUGAGACUUUAUCAUUUGGGUAUGAAAGAUACAGAGACGUGCCCAUAUGUGAAACGGACUGUAGUAACUGGUGGAAUGCCUGUAAAGAUGAUUUAACGUGUGUCCCUAAUUGGGAGGCAGAUAUGAAUUUUACAGAUGGUGGCUUUGUGUGUCCAACUAAAUCCACGUGCAAGCCGUUCACCGAAAUAUAUGGAAAUUCUACAAACUUCUGUGAAACUAUCUGGGAUAAUUCCUAUAAAGUUGUUCCGGACAGAGAACCGUGUAUGCAUUAUUGGUUUGCCGAAGGUAGUGGCAAUCCUAAUGAUAAAAUUACCUUGAUGAAGCUUGGUAUCAACCAAACUACAACCAUUUCCACAAAUAUAGCUCUAUUAAUACUUGUAUUAUGUAUAAAUUUUAUGUAAAGAUACAUUUUAUGUGAAAAAUACAGUUUAUAUUAUGUUUUAUUGUAAAAUACAGUUUAUAUUA